UCGAGCUCCUUCGAAAGCGUCUUGAUCUCAAAACCAAUGCUCUCAAUUUUCUUGUCGUUCCGAGAAGCCAUGACAUGAUCUUCCAUCGUCAUGACAUAUUCAUUAGAAGCUUCCAUCGCCUAAGAAGAAAUCGAAAUGAGAAAAUACCACAAAACAGCUUUUCAAAUAGAAUGAAGGCGAGAAACGAACCUUAGAGCUUGCCACAACAACCUUGGCGUAGGCUUCCCUCUCGACUGAGGAAGCGAGAGAUGGGAGACGGCAACCCGCAGACCUCAUGCGACCAGCGAGGGAAAUCAGGUUGCUUUGGGCGGAAAACGAAGAACCAUCUCCCUCAGAAACAAGCCUAGGAUGAGACGGACCGGGCAAGGCACCCUCUGAUGACCAACGUCGCUUGCGAGUCGCUGCCACGGUCUCAUCUUCUGAGCCAGAACUCAACGAGACAGGAGGUCGAUUCUCUCCGGAAACAUCUUUGUCGUCGGAAUCAUGAAUCGAGAUCAAGGGAGAUUUUCCGGAAGCUCGGCCCCUCGAUGCAGACCCAGAAGUUCGGAACGACGACCU
rnacentral:lncRNA from 1 species